AGAUAAAAAUAUGCCAGUAAGUCCCAGCUAUGUGUCAAUCCUGCAAAAUAGCCAGUUAAUGAUCGGAAUACUAACAAGAACUAUCGAGCGGUGCAUGUAUUAUGUAUUACUGCUAGCUCUUCUCGAUCCAAACCGUGUGCUCUAAAGACACAGACAUCGUCCGUCGGAUCAAGUAGUUAACAUGAUGUCGAUACUCAGGCGCAGCGCGUGUGGAUCUAUCGUGAAUUAGGUGUGGAACAAACAGAGAAUGGAUCUUUCCUGCUUCUUGAAUCUAUAAAAAUGGAACAACAAAAGAGAGCAAAGAUUUAAAUCUAAAAUGAAGGUAAAUAUGCAAAGCAAUAAUGCAGCUGCACCUUUAGCGGCCAUUGGGAAAACAUCCACUUUAGUUGAGGGGAAGAUCACCACUAUUCCAAAUAACAUUAUUUGACAGCAUUAUCCAACGCGUGUAGCUCAUAUCACUUCGGCAUCGGAUGUGUAAUCGCACCAGUACGAUGUUUCCGCCCGCAUAAAUAGCGCCAUAUGGAUGAUGAAAAGAUGGAUCAGUUUCGACUGGGAUAAAUUGAUUGGAUAGGAUAUUUCUAGCAGCUUCGAAGCAAAAAAAGAAAACAUCUUUCGCUUAUCAAGAGAUGCAUAUAUAGGCCAUGUCAUUAGUAAUCGCUCAAAAUCGGUGCUAUCGAUCUUUUCCUGUAAAGAAAGAAGAUGGGCUUCAGCGUUUUCGUCCCGUAGGGCACAGGUAAGUAAAAUGAAACAAAUAGAUUCAAUGACACCAAGC